GGUGGCUCCUUUAAGAACCCCAUCCUCACUAAGUGAGUCGCGGCUCCUUUAAGAAUCACAUCAUCACCAAGUGAGUCGCGGCUCCUUUAAGAACCACAUCAUCACUAAGUGAGUGGUGGCUCCUUUAAGAACCUCAUCACCACCAAGUGAUGAGUGGUGGCUCCUUUAAGAACCUCAUCACCACCAAGUGAGUCGUGGCUCCUUUAAGAACCACAUCAUCACUAAGUGAGUGGUGGCUCCUUUAAGAACCUCAUCACCACCAAGUGAGUCGUGGCUCCUUUAAGAACCUGAUCAUCACCAAGUGAGUCGUGGCUCCUUUAAGAACCCCAUCCUCACCAAGCGAGUCGUGGCUCCUUUAAG